CCUACGGGGGGCAGCAGUGAGGAAUAUUGGUCAAUGGGCGCAAGCCUGAACCAGCCAAGUCGCGUGAGGGAAGACGGCCCUACGGGUUGUAAACCUCUUUUGCCGGGGAGCAAGCCUGAGCACGUGUGCCCAGGCGGAGAGUACCCGGAGAAAAAGCAUCGGCUAACUCCGUGCCAGCAGCCGCGGUAAUACGGAGGAUGCGAGCGUUAUCCGGAUUUAUUGGGUUUAAAGGGUGCGUAGGCGGACUGUUAAGUCAGCGGUAAAAGCCCGGGGCUCAACCCCGGCGAGCCGUUGAAACUGGCUGU
rnacentral:rRNA from 1 species